rnacentral:misc_RNA from 1 species
AGUGCAUACAUAUAACUAUUAACUCCAGAAGGACUAUGUAUCUGCUAUCAUCAAAUUUACAAUAUUUCUCAAGAAUCACUAAGGAAUCAGACGAACAAUUAUCCCAACAUUACAACAAUUACAAGUUGGAGAAUACCAUCCUAUUUUUGCAGCCUAAUGUAUCUGUCUCUUGCACUUUACGUAUCGACGACAAGUUCAUGCUUCCCAGGUUUAGGUUGAAAUCUCUUGCUGUGAGGAUCUUCAUUGUCAAGAGGAGACUUCUGAUCAAAGGCUUCAGAAGUUAUCAUAACAGUUGGCUUUCCAAUUUUUUAUUUAAUGAAAAAUCAUUCUGUAAUUCAAGUUCACGUAUUUGUUGCAUUGACAUCCCAAACCAUUCAUCAAUCCAACCAAAACAAUUCCGAUGGCUCUCUAAGAAAAGUGCCCUUUCACCCGAUAGUAAAGCCCAUUCAAGUUGAUAACCAAAGCCCCAAUAUGGUGCAUCUACUGUUACCAACUUGUAUGCUGUCAUGACAGGUUUACAUAUAUCCUGCCAUCCAUCCAUAAGUGGACCACGGCCAGUUCUUGCAGAUUUGAAAUUAGAGAAGUCCACACUGUUCCUUCCAACGACAUAACUCCAAUAGUCAGUUUCUGCUGAGGCUAUAUCAAUAUAUUCAACCUGCCUGGCUGCUAGUUGUUCUUUGGUUAAACCAUGUACAUUUUCUGAUUGACCAUUGUCAGCCCUAUGAAUAGUUUCAACCGUUAAAGAAAACUUGGUGAAGUAUGGGUUCUUGAUUAUUGUUUUGCAUUUUGGGUAUGCAUUCCAAGCUUCUUCUUGC